CCUACGGGAGGCUGCAGUGAGGAAUAUUGGUCAAUGGGCGAGAGCCUGAACCAGCCAAGUAGCGUGAAGGAUGAAGGUCCUACGGAUUGUAAACUUCUUUUAUACGGGAAUAAAGUAUCCUACGUGUAGGAUUUUGUAUGUACCGUAUGAAUAAGCACCGGCUAACUCCGUGCCAGCAGCCGCGGUAAUACGGAGGAUCCGAGCGUUAUCCGGAUUUAUUGGGUUUAAAGGGAGCGUAGAUGGAUGUUUAAGUCAGUUGUGAAAGUUUGCGGCUCAACCGUAAAAUUGCAGUUGAUACUGGAUAUCUUGAGUGCAGUUGAGGCAGGCGGAAUUCGUGGUGUAGCGGUGAAAUGCUUAGAUAUCACGAAGAACUCCGAUUGCGAAGGCAGCUUGCUGGACUGUAACUGACGCUGAUGCUCGAAAG
rnacentral:rRNA from 1 species